AUACUUGACCUCAAAUCAGGUAGGACUACCCGCUGAACUUAAGCAUAUCAAUAAGCGGAGGAAAAGAAACUAACAAGGAUUCCCCUAGUAACUGCGAGUGAAGCGGGAAAAGCUCAAAUUUAAAAUCUGGCAGUCUCUGGCUGUCCGAGUUGUAAUCUAGAGAAGUAAUGCCCGUGCUGGACCGUGUAUAAGUCUCCUGGGAUGGGGCGUCAUAGAGGGUGAGAAUCCCGUCUUUGACACGGACUACCAGUGCAUUGUGGUAUGCUCUCAAAGAGUCGAGUUGUUUGGGAAUGCAGCUCAAAAUGGGUGGUAAAUUCCAUCUAAAGCUAAAUAUUGGCGAGAGACCGAUAGCGAACAAGUACCGUGAGGGAAAGAUGAAAAGAACUUUGGAAAGAGAGUUAAACAGUACGUGAAAUUGCUGAAAGGGAAACGCUUGAAGUCAGUCGCGUUGGCCGGGAAUCAGCCUUGCUUUUGCAUGGUGUACUUUCUGGUUGACGGGUCAGCAUCAAUUUUGACCGCUGGAAAAAGACCUGGGGAAUGUGGCAGCUUCGGCUGUGUUAUAGCCCCUAGUCGCAUACAGUGGUUGGGAUUGAGGAACUCAGCACGCCGCAAGGCCGGGUUUCGACC
rnacentral:rRNA from 1 species